AUCCUUUUGCAGUGUCAGUAUUGUAGCCUAUGAGGGUUAUCAUGGCGUGAUUAUUGCUAUUUGAAAACCUUACUCAAUACCCUGCCUUGACAAUUUGAAAUAUGGUCAGCUAUGGCUAUUUUUGAUGAUCUUUAGGGAGA
ensembl:snRNA U4 U4 spliceosomal RNA